rnacentral:rRNA from 1 species
CCAGACUCCUACGGGAGGCAGCAGUGGGGGAUAUUGGACAAUGGGGGAAACCCUGAUCCAGCGACGCCGCGUGAGUGAAGAAGUAUUUCGGUAUGUAAAGCUCUGUCAGCAGGGAAGAAAGAAAUGACGGUACCUGACCAAGAAGCCCCGGCUAACUACGUGCCAGCAGCCGCGGUAAUACGUAGGGGGCAAGCGUUAUCCGGAAUUACUGGGUGUAAAGGGAGCGUAGACGGUUGUGCAAGCCAGAUGUGAAAGCCCGGGGCUCAACCCCGGGACUGCAUUUGGAACUGUGUGGCUGGAGUGUCGGAGAGGCAGGCGGAAUUCCUAGUGUAGCGGUGAAAUGCGUAGAUAUUAGGAGGAACACCAGUGGCGAAGGCGGCCUGCUGGACGAUGACUGACGUUGAGGCUCGAAAGCGUGGGGAGCAAACAGGAUUAGAUACCCGUGUA